GACAGAGGAUGCAAGCGUUAUCCGGAAUGAUUGGGCGUAAGGCGUCUGUAGGUGGUUUGACAAGUCUUUUGUCAAAGAUCAGGGCUUAACCCUGGGCCGGCAAGAGAAACUAUCAGACUAGAGUUCGGUAGGGGCAGAGGGAAUUCCCGGUGGAGCGGGGAAAUGCGUUGAUAUUGGGAGGAACUCCGGUGGCGAAAGCGGCUCGCUGGGCCUCUUCUGACGCUGAUGCGCGAAAGCUAGGGGAGCAAACGGG
rnacentral:rRNA from 1 species